GAUUCCCUUGGUAACGGCGAGUGAAGAGGGAAGAGCCCAGCACCGAAGCCUGCGGCAGUUUUGCUGUUAGGCAAUGUGGUGUGUGGGUCGGCUCGCGGGACCAUCACUCCACUCGAAGUCCAGCAUUGAGUAUGGCUAACACUGGAUUUGGCCCAUAGAGGGUGAGAGGCCCGUACGGGUGGAGGUUCAGACAUGUACGAUGGUUCACCAGGCCGGCCUCAGAGUCGGGUUGUUUGAGAUUGCAGCCCAAAGAGGGUGGUAAACUCCAUCCAAGGCUAAAUACGCCCACGAGUCCGAUAGCGAACAAGUACCGUGAGGGAAAGUUGAAAAGUACUCUGAAGAGAGAGUAAACAGUACGUGAAGCCGCAUGCAGGUAAACGGGUGGCGUCAAGCUGCGAGCCCGGAGGAUUCAGCUGACUGGGAUGUAGUGUGCGCACGCCUGGUGCGUCGAGAGGCCGGAAUAAGAUGCUUGUGGCGGUCCACUCCUCUGCUGGGAGUGGAGUGCAAUCGGUGUGCGCUUGCGUGUAUGCCGGUUGUCGCUAUGUAUGCCGGGUGGGUGCCGGAGCAUGCCGCUCAUCUGUUGGGCCACCUAGUCAGUGCAUUUUCUCCGUGGUGAACACCACGACCGGUGGAACUGCCAGUCUGCUGUGAUCAAGUCGUGUCCUCCUGGCGCGUUACUGCGCUAGGGGUUUGGCACGAUGUGGCAGGCGGAGUCGGUGAACGGCGCAGUGGUGCUUCGGUACUGCCGCGUGUUAUCGUGCACUCUCCGUCGUAAGCGGUUAGUGUUGUUGACUAAGUACUGUAACCUGCUUCCUCAUUAACCGGCCGAUGACAGUGGUGAAAGGGACUGUGCAGGGCACCGGAGUUGUCCACCUCAUUCAAUAUGGUACCCGGCACGCACGUUACAGGUGCCUAUACAAUCGGGACGCGCCGCUGUCUGCCUGGUGUUGGGCCUGGCUGUCGUGUCGCCUACGCAAAGUGGGUCCGGCAGUGGUUUCGAUGCUUGGUAGCCGCAGUGUGUUGCGUGUCUCGGGUGUCUGUGGUACCGGGGGUGAAAUAGUCAGUGGUGCUGUGGUAGACGAGCUACCCGACCCGUCUUGAAACACGGACCAAGGAGUUUAACAUGUGUGCAAGUCAAAGGGUCCUACGAAACCCCUAGGCGCAGUGAAAGUGAAGUUCACACUGCAUUUCUGCACAUGCGCAGUGCAGUGUGGCGAGGUGAGAUCUCGUUGUACUCAUGACACACGCCGCAGACCUUACUGGGCAUUACUGGGGCAACGAGCGCAUCACCGGCCCGUCCCAUGAUGUGGUCAUAGGUCCACUUGUGCGCGGGAGUGGCAACACGAAGCGUACGAGGCCUGUGCGUCAUCGGGGCGGAGCAUGAGCACACACGUUGAGACCCGAAAGAUGGUGAACUAUGCUUGCGUAGGUUGAAGCCAGAGGAAACUCUGGUGGAGGACCGUAGCGAUUCUGACGUGCAAAUCGAUCGUCAAACGUGAGUAUAGGGGCGAAAGACUAAUCG
rnacentral:rRNA from 1 species